AAAGAACUUUAAUCAUAGGGCCACCAAAUGAGGAGAGGGGAGGGAGCCUCAGAUUCCUCUCCCUGAGGUUAGGGUUUUUUAAGGAUUUUGGAGUGGACUGAAUAGUGAAGAAUACUGAUUGGUUGAAGAGUGCAGGGUGAAGUCAUGGGACAGGAAGAUGAAGAAACUGUAUUUUUUCCUGAUUUGAUUCCUCUGUGGGUGUCUUCCAACUGACUGGCUUCAGCCAUUCCCCUGGAAUUUGGGAUUUCAAAAACAUCUUAAGUAAUGCUUACACAAAAGCCUUAUAAUUCUGUUAGAGAUCUUGCCUAAGGAACAGUGAGGAUGCAAACUGUCAGUAUCUAGUGCUCUGUGACUUUUGGCAAUAAGGAAGUGGGCCAAAGUGCAGCAUGACUGAUGUUUAAUUAUAACCAUACUUCUGUUUGGAAUUUUUGCUAACCCUGUGAAGAAGGCUUCCCUUGCUUAUUGGCUGAAGGUCUACAAGGACUUGAUUCACAUAUCUGAUCAUACCUGGAGUCCAGACUUCCUCCUGAUGCCUGUUAGGCCACCCUCCACCUCCAACUGAUGAAUGGAUAGUAAUAGACAGAGUAAAAAUAUCAUUAGAUAACGAGAGUAAAAAUAUCACCAAGUAGCAAAAGAAGAGUAAACAUCACUGGGGAGCACAGAUACAUCACAGGAGCCCAGGAGAGAUCACUGUGUCAUUUGGAUUCUUCUGGAAGCAUGUGCUGAUACAGAGGUAGGAGUGCAAAAGCCUUAUUGGGGUUGGAGUGCAAAGCCUGUGACAGUGUGGAGGAGAAAGAGAGACUCUGACUAGUGAUGAUCUCAUAGUCUUGAUAAACCCCAACAUAGCCCCAGGGCAAGGAUUAUCCACUGGA
rnacentral:lncRNA from 1 species